rnacentral:rRNA from 1 species
UACAGAGGGUGCGAGCGUUAAUCGGAAUUACUGGGCGUAAAGCGUGCGUAGACGGUUACGUAAGUCGGGUGUGAAAGCCCCGGGCUCAACCUGGGAAUUGCAUUCGAGACUGUGUAGCUAGGGUGCGGAAGAGGGAAGCGGAAUUUCCGGUGUAGCGGUGAAAUGCGUAGAUAUCGGAAGAACAUCAGUGGCGAAAGCGGCUUCCUGGUCCAGCACCGACGUUCAGGCACGAAAGCGUGGG